GAUCACGGCUCAGGAUGAACGCUAGCUACAGGCUUAACACAUGCAAGUCGAGGGGCAGCAUGAACUUAGCUUGCUAGGUUUGAUGGCGACCGGCGCACGGGUGAGUAACACGUAUCCAACCUGCCGAUGACUCGGGGAUAGCCUUUCGAAAGAAAGAUUAAUACCCGAUGGCAUAAUUCUUCCGCAUGGUAGAACUAUUAAAGAAUUUCGGUCAUCGAUGGGGAUGCGUUCCAUUAGG
rnacentral:rRNA from 1 species